rnacentral:rRNA from 1 species
UUACCCAAUCCCGAUUCGGGGAGGUAGUGACAAUAAAUAACAAUACAGGGCCAACGGUCUUGUUAUUGGAAUGAGAACAAUUUAAAUAACUUAACGAGGAUCAAUUAGAGGGCAAGUCUGGUGCCAGCAGCCGCGGUAAUUCCAGCUCUAAUAGCGUAUAUUAAAGUUGUUGCAGUUAAAAAGCUCGUAGUCGGAUGUCGGGCUCGGGCAAGCUGUCGGCCUUUGGUCGGACGGCAGGCUCGGGUCUUUCUGCCUGAGGAACCCGGUUGCUUUAACGAGCUGCCGGUGGACGCAGGUCGUUUACUUUGAAAAAAUUAGAGUGUUCAAAGCAGGCUAGCGCUUGAAUACAUUAGCAUGGAAUAAUGGAAUAGGACUUUGGUGCUAUUUUGUUGGUUUAUGGGACCGAAGUAAUGAUUAACAGGGACAGUUGGGGCCGUUUAUAUUUCGUUGUCAGAGGUGAAAUUCUUGGAUUUACGAAAGAUAAACUUCUGCGAAAGCAUUCGGCAAGGAUGUUUUCAUUGAUCAAGAACGAAAGUUAGGGGAUCGAAGACGAUCAGAUACCGUCGUAGUCUUAACCAUAAACUAUGCCGACUAGGGUCAGUGGAUGUCAAUUUGCGACUCCAUUGGCACCUUGUGAGAAAUCAAAGUUUUUGGUUCCGGGGGGAGUAUGGUCGCAAGGCUGAAACUUAAAGGAAUUG